GGAAGAGGAAGACAAAGAGUGGAAAUAUCUGAUGAAAUUCGAGCAACAGUUAUAGACCAUGUUCUUGUCCAUGGACUGACAAUGAGGGAAGCAGGACUUAGAGUGCAACCCAAUUUGAGCCGAUUUUCUGUGUCCAUCAUAGUAAGGACAUUCAGAGAAGAGAACAGAAUUGCAAGGCUGCCACAUGCAGGUGGAAGGACAGCUAUAUUCACUCGGGAGCAAGAGGCCGUUAUAGUUGGCAAGAUAAUGCAAUACGACUCAGAGAAAUCCAGGAACGAGUGAUACAAGACAACACACACUUCCAGGGAAUCGACAGUGUGAGCAUUUCCACAAUUGACCGUGUCCUCCAUCGUAACAGGAUGCGAUUGAAACUAGUAUACAGAGUACCUUUUGAGUGCAACUCACCAAGGGUGAAAGAACUGCGAGCUCAGUAUGUGCAAACAAUAUUUGACUUGGAAUCCUUGGACAGACCCCAUGAGUUCAUCUUUGUCGAUGAAGCAGGCUUCAAUCUAACAAAGAGGAGAAGGAGAGGCCGAAACAUGAUUGGACAGCGGGCCAUUGUUGAAGUCCCUGGUCAACGAGGUGGCAAUGUCACAAUCUGUGCUGCUAUCAGCGACCAUGGUGUUCUACAUCACCAUGUUACACUCGGGCCAUAUAACACCCAGCACCUUCUAACAUUUAUUGCCAAUCUAAGAGAUAUUUUAUUUGAGC
rnacentral:lncRNA from 1 species